rnacentral:tRNA from 1 species
GGAGAGAUGUCCGAGAGGCUGAAGGAGCACGCUUGGAAAGCGUGUGUAGCUGUGUGCUACCGCGGGUUCGAAUCCCGCUCUCUCCG